AGCAGGCCUAGUCCUUAGAAGAGAAGCCUUUCCUACCAGCGCACACAGAGGCUCAUGGUCUCUCCUGAGGCACCCAUGAUCGUUCUCCGUCUUUAUAUUUUUGGGCCUCUACAAAUAGCCAUCUCUGCCAAGAUGGGCCGAGCACCCAUGGACGUUUAAACGUCCGGAAACAACACAAUGUGAGGGAAUGAUUGCGGAUACAUUAGUGGCUCUGCUCAAUGGCUACCAAGACUGCUUCUAACAGAGCCUUCUCGGGAGCUGCCCAUCUUUGUUUCUGAGGGCUCGAAACACUUCCACACUACGAUGUAUGUAUUUCAUGUGUGCAUGUAUAUAUUUAAUGAUAUAUCAUUAACACAAGAACAUAAGCAUUGAGAAGGCAGAAGCCAAGAAAGCUUCCAAUAUUUCAACAAGAAUGUCAACCAAACACUUUUCCACACUUUAUAUGAACCACACAGGUAAAUUCUCUGAAGUGCAUCCUCUCUCUAUAAUUUUGAGGUUGAGAAUAUCAUCAGGAGUCUCAUCUUGAAAACAACUGGAUGUUUGUAUAUGAAGGCUUUAUUUCCUCUGCAUUGACUAGAUUCCUUAAAACUGUAAACAAAGGAGAUGUUCACCCCACGUGCAAUCUGCAUAAAUGAGAAAAAAGCAGAUGGUGGUGAGAAACACCUAAGGCUGAAACUCUGGGUAGAAAUGCAAGUUGCUUCCCACGAGAAACUAAAUAUUCGGAAAUAUUAGUUACUGAGAAUUCUGCCCUCAUCCGAUUUUCUGAUUGGGCGUAUCCAGAACAGGAAUGAUAACUACAAUUUUUUACAAUCCUGCCUCCCCUCCAGUAUCAUUCAUAUAAGCAAGACAGAGAAACAACCCAAAUGUCUAUCAGCAGAUGAAUGGAUAAACAAAAUGUGAACACACAGUAGAGUAUUAUUCAGCCUGAAAAAGAUGGAAACUCUCUUGUUUACGACAACGCGGAUGGACACGCAAGACGUUAUGCUGAAUGAAAUAAGCCAGUCCAGAGAGACAACUACCCCUGAUGUGCCUGGAGAUGGAGGCAGACUCAUCUCCAGGGAAGAGGCUCACAAAUUUUGACCUAUGGAGCCAUGACAGGUGACUGCAAGGGACCGUACAUAACGUGUUCAGGAAGACCUAUGCCCGUCUGGCUCCCAGCUCCCCAAGGUGCCGUUGACCCCACUUCUGCUUUCCUGACGCCGCUCUCACAGGGGGCCUUUAGCUAAAGCACCUCGCAGAGGACUGCCCCAUGCUAACCCUCACCUGACACGGGUCAGACGCACCCGGCUGCUUGUGUGGACUGCUCUGGAGGGAGAAUGCAGCCCGGGGAGGAAGGGAAACAGCUGCGAGGAAGAGCAGGGAACGCGGUAGGAGAGGGCCUCCUCCUGGCAGGUGCGCAGCCAGGCCCAUCACCAAACCACCAAGAAUCGUGGUGAGGCCCGAGGUAAGGAGGAUGGGUGGAGGCGGCACGAGGUGCCUGAGAUUUACAGGUGGAGCCCUGCCCCCUGAGACUGUAGGAAAUCAGGAAACGCUGAAAUUGGAAAUUAUCGCCUUCACAUUUUUGGAAUGCGCUUUCCACGUCGGGACACCGGGAAUGUUGUAUUUCUGCACCUUUUUCUGGCACGUAAUCACUUUCCCUGGUAACUUUGUUUUAGACACUCAAGUUACAAUGGAUUCCAAGGACACCGCACAUUGCCAAUAACCGUCCUGUUGAACUAUUUUAUGGGACAAUAAUCUGGCAUCCUGGUGGUGAGAGCCAGGCAUCAACCUCACAGUUAAUUCACUGGGGAGGUGUAUUAUUGCUUCAUAAAACAUCACUGCGGUAUUACUAGGAAUAA